AUGCCCUGGGAAAAGUUCUAAGCAAGCAUUUUCCUCCCCAAGUUCUACUCUGCAAAGUGUGCUCCUCAAGCAAAGCACAGAGAGAAGGGAUCAAUCUAGUGCUCAUAGGACUCCGCUCAUCACUUUCAGCUCUUGCAUAGCCCUUUUAUGCAGAUGGGAAUGGCUUUCUGCAAGAGCAACGGCCAAAGACCAUUGUUGGAGGGUGGCAUCCACCCAAAAAGAAAGGAAACCUGGGCUCACUGCUAGAGCAGACGUGGGAAAAUCAACACCUUGGCAACAUGAGCACACUGCAGAUCUGGAAACAGCACUAAACCUGUCCUGGCUGCACAUGGGAAAAGCUUGCUGGAAACUUCAGACAUACC
rnacentral:lncRNA from 1 species